rnacentral:rRNA from 1 species
GUCUACAACCAUGCUACCCUGAAUGUGCCCGAACCCGAAGCUGAGCAGGAUCGGGCCUGGUUAGUACUUGGAUGGGAGACCAACUAAGAAGACCAGGUGCUGUAGGUG